rnacentral:lncRNA from 1 species
GAUGUGCCACACCAUUCCCCUGUCUCUGUGCAUGUAGGAAAAUACCUAUGCGAUAAUUAAUGCUGAUUGAUUUCGAGUCCAUAAUAUAUGCACUUAUUAGAGACCCAUCUUGUUUGUUUGCAUUAAGCUUCACCACUGUAAGAGCAUCACCUUCAAUCUUCGCAUCCAAAAAACCCAAACCAAUACCCAUUUCGACAGCCUGGAAACAUGCAAGAGCCUCCGCAGCAAAAACCGUAGGUAUGUUGUUAUGUAUAGUUGUACUAGAUCCUAACACAAAACCAUUAGAGUUUCUAACAACAAUCCUUGUACACGAUCUCUUCGUAUGGCUUUGAAAGGAACCAUCAUAGUUGAUCCUUACUAAAGGGGACUCCAGCGGCCUCCAUCUUUUAGAUUCCACCCUUCUAACAAGUAAUCGCUUGUUAAUAGCAUCUAGUUCCCAAAUAUAAGAAAUGAUUAUAUUGGUUGUUUCUUGAAUUGUUUGUAUGACCCCUGCAUGAAUUACUUUGUUUUUUGCUGUCCAAAUUGCCCAAAUUGCACAAGCCACAAUUCUGUAGUGAUAAU